UACGUAGGGGGCUAGCGUUGUCCGGAUUUAUUGGGCGUAAAGAGCGUGUAGGCGGCCAGGUAGGUCUGCUGUGAAAACUCGAGGCUCAACCUCGAGACGUCGGCGGAAACCAUCUGGCUAGAGUCCGGAAGAGGAGAGUGGAAUUCCUGGUGUAGCGGUGAAAUGCGCAGAUAUCAGGAAGAACACCCGUGGCGAAGGCGGCUCUCUGGGACGGUACUGACGCUGAGGCGCGAAAGC
rnacentral:rRNA from 1 species